CACGUAGGGCGCAAGCGUUGUCCGGAAUUAUUGGGCGUAAAGAGCUCGUAGGCGGUCCGUCACGUCCGCUGUGAAAACCCAGGGCUCAACCCUGGGCUUGCAGUGGAUACGGGCAGACUAGAGGUAGGUAGGGGAGAAUGGAAUUCCCGGUGUAGCGGUGAAAUGCGCAGAUAUCAGGAGGAACACCAAUGGCGAAGGCAGCUCGCUGGAACGGUACUGACGCUGAGGCGCGAAAGCGUGGGGAGCAAACAGG
rnacentral:rRNA from 1 species